UAUGCCUCGUGUAUUGCACAUGCCUGUGUUUGUGACCAAUAUUACAAAACAUAAUUAAAAGGGUUAAACUUCAGGGUGAGGUAUUCACAGCUGAGCUAAUGUUUUACCAGGAAACCACAUGCACAUAUGCAAUAUAAAGGCGCACCACGAACACACAAGACUCUGCAGCUGAAUAGACCAAUAGUUCAUUAUCAACUUUCUUUUUAAAUAUUUGCAUUUUUACUCCAGCAAGUAGGCAGAUUUAUAAGAUUUUGGAUUCCUAGACUAAACUAUCUUUACAAAGAGCAACAUCAAGAUGAUCUUGGGCCUGGGCUUUCUCUGUUUUGCUGUGGGCAUCAAAGCAGUCCAUGCAAGUCCGGUCAGAAACACAUCAAGUAUGGAGGGCAGUGCUGCGCCCCAAGAAGAAGUCAACGUGCUGAUGUUCGGUGUGAUACAGUUCAGGGAAUCCCUCAACUAUGUGUUUGAAACCACCGAGGUGAAGAUAGCUAAAAUCAUCUGGACUUUGAAGAACUACGAACAAACUUUGCAGCAGUUGGGAGCGCAGACGGAGCAGGCCGCUGAGGUGGAGAGGCAGAUCAAAGACGUGAUACGGCUCCUACAGGACCAGAUGGCAAAGCAAGAGGCCCAGACCAAGAUGACUAGAGACUGGCUGGCCCACAUUGAGCAGGAAGAGGAGCAGCUGAGGACUAAAGUGAAGACACUGGACACAUAUCUGAGCAGCUCCUUCCCCGCAAGCAUCAAAGAGCUGCAGGAAAGAGCAGAGGCGCAUUCAAGCAUGUUAAAGGGGUUACAGCUCUUGACCCAGUUCCAAAGGGAGAGCAUUGAAUCUCAGAAUGAGCAGCUACAGAAGCUCCAGAAAAGGCUGCCUUAGACCGCCAACUAAAACCAGACCCACUUCAUGCUCCACAACUCAGUGCACGCCCAUGGACUUCAAAUUCAUUGACUGACUUCGAUAAAUGCUUGUAUUUUAUUAUGUCCACAGUGAUGCAGCUAUUUCAAAUACACUUUUGUCCUUUUCAUUUAUCAAGUUUCAAGAGAUACCAAUGGCUAAAGGUUUGUUAUAGCAGCGGUCUUAAAUGUUUUUCAGAUCAAGGUCGUAAAAGUGUGGACCCCAAACUGUAAUUCAGUGUAUCAUCAAGUCAUGUCAGAACAAUUUAAAACUCAGUAUAGUAAAAUGAAAGCAAGAAAGUGAAUGAUUGCUGCUUUUCCCCCAAGGGUUAAGGACCAUCAUGUUGAAGACCCAUGUAUUACAGUAUUUGACAUGAACGUGAAUGUACUUAUUUAACAUGGAAAGUUCUUUUAUAAAAAUCUGUUGUUACAAGUUGAAUUUUUCCCCUUCAGACACUAAAAUAGAAGCUGGUAAGAAAAUCAAUGGGCUGCAAACAGAAACAUGUAUGCAGUCCAUUGGUCAGAGUAUAUAGGUCAGCCAGCAUGGUGUGUGGGAACAAGCGCUGACCUGUAGGCAGUGUGGGGCGUGUAAACAUCGCGGGACGGGAAUUCCAGCACCUCUUUGGUGGGACGCACUCUGAGAUCUGGGUACGGCUUGACGUGCAACAGCUCCGGAGACAAACAGUAAUGAGGCGAGUCUGGUGCUGGGGAGAUGUCAAUCUUAAGCUGAGCUGAAGGGAGUACAGUAAAUGUUUACACUGGCCAUUUAUGUGGAAACAUCAUCAUCAUAUAGUAUUAUGUUACCUGUAACAGGCCUUAGCCUUCUCAAACCAGAGGACGGUCUGCGCAUGUCGGCCAGAUACUUAUAGAGGUCUUCAUCACUGAGUCUAUCUCCCUCCUACAGCAAAUACAUACAAAAGUACAGCGCUGUCAAAUGUUGGAUGCACACUAAAUAUUGAUCAGUCUCAAUUACAAGUCAAUUAAAUGGUUCCCACAUUAAAAACAACAAAAAAGCUUUUACAAAAAUUAUUGAUGAACAUGGACAAAAUAGUCCUUUUUGGUAGAAGCUUGAACAAAAACAGAGUGCUUUUUACUCCAGUAUCAUUUAACACACACAAAAAAAAUCUGCCAGUGUCUCCUCGAAACUCCAAAUCAGGUGCUGUUAAAGAAUUGGCUGAUAAUUCAAGAGUCCCAGGUCGACAAUAGUCAUUUCCGACUACACAAAGGUAUUUGCACCAUAUGCAUCAUGUAUGACAGUAGUAGACAGUUACUUCAUGAUUACUAAUUCACACCUGUUUGAAGAAGUUUGUAACAGUCAGUGUCGCUGGACGGAAAGUAGCAAAGUUGCACAUGUCUUCGGCAACACUCAUCCGCUCAAAUCCCUUCUUCUUUCUUUCAUUCCACGUCCCAUGACCUUUUUUCUCUACAAACAUAUGUUUGAUUAAGUGGUGCAACACAAACAGAAGUGUAUAUUUUAGAGGACAUGAACUGUAUAAAAAAGGUGAGGCAGCAGCAGGUUUUACCAGAGUCAGAGUCAGGGUCCAGCCGAUCCAGGCCUCCGACGCUGCUCACAAUGUUCAGGAGGUGAAUGGCCGUCCAGGCAAAAGGCAUUCGAAAUCGGCCCAGACGACUGCAUGCCUGCUCUGCCUGUUGCUUCAGUUUUUCCAACUUCUCCUUAUGCUGAAACAAAUGUUCAGACAUAAGUGAUGAAGUAGCUUUCACAAGUCAAGAAAAAACUAAACAAAGAGAGGUCUAUCAAAAUACAUUAAGUCUAGUACAAACAAAAUGGUAUUAAUAUAUAGACAAGACAAAACAUCUACACAGUGCUUAUCACUCAUUUUGUCUAUUUCAUUUACUCUCACAUUCUCCAUAGAUUUCUUUUUAAAUAAAUGUACAGUAUUAAAGCACUUUCUGUGAAAAGCAUUUUUCACACCUGCCUAAAACUUUUGCACAGUGCUGUAUGUUCUCAUCACACCCACUGAUAAACAACAGUAAAUCUUUAUUAAUAUCUGUGUCUUAACGGUAUGAAAGACCUCCUGCGUGCUUUGGCGGGCGUCCACUGCAAUUGCAAUGGAUUUAGACCCAUUUGGCCGCAUUACCUUGGACGAAUCGGACUCUUUCAUCACCAUGUACGGCUCACAGCACUCUCCAAUGUCGCCUUGUUGAAGGACUUUUUCAAGCUGCGAAGCACAUCCAAGUCGUUACACUUGCGUACGACAGAAACAAAUGCAUAGUGUGAAGUAAUAAUACCUUAAUGACAAGGAAUAUAUCGGGAGAUGGGUAUGUAAUGGAGAAAAUGGCCGAACGAGCCAGAGUGGAGAUGGCUGUGUGAGGCGUGUGCGGUUUGAGAAGUGCUUUCAUUGGAUCAGAGUUGAGAUCGAAGUAGAAAUUCUCAGAGAUCUGUUUGAUAAGUGGAAAAAGAAAGAAAGGGGCGGGUGAGGUAAUGCACAUCAAUUGAUUUUAAUUCAAUUCUGACUAAGUAAUCUUAACGGUGAUACCACUUAGGGCCUUUUAAGACCGGGGAAACUCAAUUAGUCAGGGAUGAGCUCAACAUUACGUAACUAGUUUUGAGCUGGAAAAUUCACUUAGAAACACAGACUCGGUCAACUUGAAAAAUAUGAGGCAUACCUUUUUCUUUUCUCUGACAUCAUACAAGGCUAGAGUCCCAAAUAUGGGCUCAAUUUCAAUUUCAAACCUAAAACACACACACUGGUUAAACUGAGGGAUGGUUCUUAAAAACAUGGACUGAGAUAAUGACCAUUUAAAAUACUCACUUCAGAGACAAACACUUGACCAUGAUUCUCUGGCCACAGUGUUCUCUGGGCACUUCUGGGACAGAGGAUCUCUCCACUGCUUCGUCCUGACACACAAAAGGCUCACGUAAAACACACACACACCAGCAUAACAUUUACAAACGUCAUGGCAACACGGUCAGCAGUGAAGCAGUGGGGAGUACGACAAUGUAACAGCAGAUGGAUGAGGAGAUGAACAAAGAAUGUGGCUCAAAGUAAAGCAAAGAUUUCGACCUGUA
ensembl:lncRNA